rnacentral:rRNA from 1 species
UACGGAGGGUGCAAGCGUUAAUCGGAAUUACUGGGCGUAAAGCGCACGCAGGUGGCUGAGUCAGUCGAUUGUGAAAGCCCUGGGCUUAACCUGGGAAUUGCAGUCGAUACUACUCAGCUAGAGUAUGGGAGAGGGUAGUGGAAUUCCCGGUGUAGCGGUGAAAUGCGUAGAUAUCUGGAGGAACACCGGUGGCGAAGGCGGCAUCCUGGACCAACACUGACGCUGAGGGAGCGAAAGCCAGGGGAGCAAACGGG